rnacentral:rRNA from 1 species
ACUCCUACGGGAGGCAGCAGUGGGGAAUAUUGCACAAUGGGGGAAACCCUGAUGCAGCCAUGCCGCGUGUGUGAAGAAGGCCUUGGGUUGUAAAGCACUUUCUAGUAGGGAGGAAGGUAGUGUAGUUAACACCUGCAUUAUUUGUACGUUACCUACAGAAGAAGCACCGGCUAACUCCGUGCCAGCAGCCGCGGUAAGUACGGAGGGUGCGAGCGUUAAUCGGAAUUACUGGGCGUAAAGCGCAUGCAGGCGGCCUGUUAAGUCAGAUGUGAAAGCCCGGGGCUUAACCGUCGGAAUUGCAUUUGAAACUGGCGAGGCUAGUAGUCUUGGUAGGAGGGGGUUAGGUAAUUUCGAGGUGUAGCGGUGAAAUGCGUAG